UACGAAGGGGGCUAGCGUUGCUCGGAAUCACUGGGCGUAAAGGGUGCGUAGGCGGGUCUUUAAGUCAGAGGUGAAAUCCUGGAGCUCAACUCCAGAACUGCCUUUGAUACUGAGGAUCUUGAGUUCGGGAGAGGUGAGUGGAACUGCGAGUGUAGAGGUGAAAUUCGUAGAUAUUCGCAAGAACACCAGUGGCGAAGGCGGCUUACUGGUCCGGUUCUGACGCUGAGGCGCGAAAAGCGUGGGGGAGCAAACAGG
rnacentral:rRNA from 1 species